CUUCUCAGAAACAAAUUUCUCUCUGCGCUUCUCCUUCUCAAAAACAAAUUUCUUUCUGUCACGCUUCGGACUCUAUCACGCUUCUGAUUCGGUUUAUCUAAAGAACCCAGAAUUCGGCUUCUUCUUCUCUUACUAAUCAACCACAAGAACCCAGGGCAGCUAAACAAAACCCAAAGAAGAAACAGUAUCGGCCGGCGACGAUAUUUGAAAUAGUGAGUCUUGGAAUUUAGCACACGGGUCCAGAAGUUCCAUUGGACGAUGAAGUUAUAUAUGUAGACACUGUUCUGGAAAAAAAUUGGCAUUGAAGGUGAAGAUUAGUUUUUGGAUCUUGGUGGGAAAUCUGAUGCCUGUUGGCUAUAUACAGUA